AUAACUCUGGGUUCUAUGGUAGAAGACACUUUUAAAUGGGAUAUAUUUAAAUAUGCCAGUAAGGAUGUAAUUUGGUGUCACUUUAAUUGGCCCACAUUUCCUGAUUUUGCUUAACUAAGGACAUAAAUAUUCUACCUGUGACAAGGCUACAAAAUACCUAAAUAUGUAAAUACCGAAACAUAGGCAGUAUUUUUUAAACCAACGAGUUCUAUCUAUCUAUUCUUGAUAAGGCGAUGGGGGAAUAUCUAUUUCAAACCUAUCUAAAAGACCCCAAUAACCGGACUAGGCUUAGAAAGGAUAUUCCCCGAGUACCAGAUCAACUACAUCAUACAUGUAAAAUGUCUUAAAAAUAAACAACAAAAAACUUUAAAGAAUUCCCUUUUAGAGCUCUGUUUAACCUGUUCUAUAAUUCACAAACCAAUUAAUUUGAAUUUAUUAUGUGCAUCAAAAGUAAAUCCCGCCUACAACAUUAAAAAAAAAAAACCUGUAUGAAACACUCAUUCAAAAACCUGAAUUUGAAAAAAGAUUCUGUGUUUAUUCAUAUAUUUGUUUAUAAAUGUAUGAUUAAUCUUAUUUAAGAGAAUGCUUGUUUGAAGGCAUCAUUAGUCGAUUGAUAACAGGUUUGAGUAUAACCUUUUACUAUAUUAUAAUGAAACUUUUAAUAGAGCAUUGACUUUUUGACCUACCUCAAAGCAAUGUAAAUAGAAUGUAGUCGCAUAUAUUCUAUAUUUAAAUCACCUCCCUUUGUUCCCAAACAAAGGAGGCAUUAUUAAAUCCCUAUAUUGGACGGGGACAGGUGGACUGUCUGCCCCUCGAGAUUUCUGAUUUGGGCCAAGAUGCGAAAAUAUAAUCGCUGAAAAUGUCGGACGAUCGUCACUCACAUAUUUGCGCAGUUCGCUUUGUUUAUCUGCCCGUUGCUAAUAUUUGUGUUUGCUCACAAUAUUUGCCGACGCUUUUGUCGCGGGGCCAUUCGCAUUAAUUAUUGUCUAGUUUUUAUUAUGAUGAGUUUUUGUACGCCUUCGGGUUUUGCAUUAGGCCACGACCUUGAACUUGAGUGGAAAUUUUAUUGGCAGCUUACAUAAAACAAGUUUUUUCAACCCAAUCGGAAUCGGCGUCGAAAGUGAAUGUGGUGUAACCCAAAAAGUAAGCCAUGCGUUGUAAACUGGCCUCAUGUUUAUUGUUUUGGAUUGGGAAACGCAUAUAUAAGCAGGAUUCUAUAUAUUCAUUCUAACGAGAAUUGUUAUGUUUGUCAUCAAAUUCUUUAUUCUAUUUAAAAUUGGAAGACAAAAUGUUUUUAAUUUAAGAUUGAUUUUACGGCCUGAAUCUUUGCAAACAAA